rnacentral:rRNA from 1 species
CCAAUCCUGACACAGGGAGGUAGUGACAAGAAAUAACAAUACGGGGCUUAAUGUCUUGUAAUUGGAAUGAUGGGAAUUUAAACCUCUUCCAGAGUAUCAAUUGGAGGGCAAGUCUGGUGCCAGCAGCCGCGGUAAUUCCAGCUCCAAUAGCGUAUAUUAAAAUUGUUGCAGUUAAAAAGCUCGUAGUUGAAUUUCUGCUGCAUUGCAUCUUCUUUUUGAUGAGUUGGUGUAUUGUGGCUUAUUUCGGAUGAUACUUGUAUUAUCCGGAUGAUUACUUUGAGAAAAUUAGAGUGCUCAAAGCAGGCUUUUGCCUUGAAUAGUUUAGCAUGGAAUAAUAAAGUAGGACUUUGGUUCUAUUUUGUUGGUUUUAGGUACCAAAGUAAUGGUUAAUAGGAACAGUUGGGGGU